rnacentral:rRNA from 1 species
UACGGUAGGGGGCAAGCGUUGUCCGGAUUUAUUGGGCGUAAAGAGCGUGUAGGCGGCUUGGUAGGUCUCGCGUCAAAACCUGAGGCUCAACCUCAGUUCGCGUGGGAAACCACCUAGCUAGAGUCCGGAAGAGGAGAACGGAAUUCCCAGUGUAGCGGUGAAAUGCGCAGAUAUUGGGAAGAACACCAGUGGCGAAGGCGACUCUCUGGGCUGUAACUGACGCUGAGGCGCGAAAGCGUGGGGAGCAAACAGG